rnacentral:lncRNA from 1 species
AAAGCACUGACUUGUUAGCAGGCAUUAUGCCUGCUCUGUUGCCAGUAUAGUUUCCCUCAAGUGCUUUGUAUGACAUGAUUGAAUCUGCUUUAACCAUUAGAGGCCAGAACUGCCUUACAGUCUUUUGUGAAAUGGAUUCCAUGGGUCCAAGACAGCUUUUGGAUUUGGCAGUCCCCAUGUUGACAUUCUCAGUGAAAGCUGAUGAGCUUGCAGCAGGAGCACCUGUGUGCUGAGAUGCACCAAAUGUUUAUGUCGUGAACGCUACAAAAAUAAUACUGGUGUUUUUCCAGGGGUAGCCUGAUAAAUAUACUCACUUUUGAGGAUAGAAA